rnacentral:rRNA from 1 species
CAAGUCGAGCGGUAACAUGAACUAGCUUGCUAGUUUGAUGACGAGCGGCGGACGGGUGAGUAAUGCUUAGGAACUUGCCUCUUGGAGGGGGACAACAGUUGGAAACGACUGCUAAUACCGCAUGAUGUCGCAAGACCAAAGGGGGCUUCGGCUCCUGCCAAGAGAGAGGCCUAAGUGAGAUUAGCUAGUUGGUGGGGUAAAGGCUCACCAAGGCGACGAUCUCUAGCUGUUCUGAGAGGAAGAUCAGCCACACUGGGACUGAGACACGGCCCAGACUCCUACGGGAGGCAGCAGUGGGGAAUAUUGGACAAUGGGCGCAAGCCUGAUCCAGCCAUGCCGCGUGUGUGAAGAAGGCCUUCGGGUUGUAAAGCACUUUCAGUGGUGAGGAAAGGUUGGUGGUUAAUACCCAUCAGCUGUGACGUUAGCCACAGAAGAAGCACCGGCUAACUCCGUGCCAGC